UAUUAUAUUAUGGAAUCGAAUGGGAUAGUUCAAGUAUUUGUUGUAUCCUGUAGUGUUGGACGAUUGCUAUUAUUAUCACCCGUUGGUUCCACUUCCGCAUCUUUGAACUUGAUCUUUGAACGAUAAUUGGAAACCUAUCCAACAAAAUUUCGUGAUAUACCGCAUCCUACGAAUAUGAAUUUUCAAUCAACCAAUGGAAGAAUAAUCGCUUGGUGUUAACUAAAUUUUUGAUAUCGCGACACCAAUCUUUGUUGCGCUCGAGUCCAUGGCACGUCUUUUUGUUCUUCGUAAAUAUUGCUCAGCUCUGCGUGUUCUACCUGUAUCAUGUACAUACAAUAUGUAUUUAGGUCGUUGGACGAAACAUACUUGUAGUUCGAAACAUCGUUUCAUCUUUUGUUUCUUCUCGUAACGAAGCUUAUCUAAUUGACAGCGUUUCCUAUGAUUUUCCUCGUAAAUAGAUUCACAAAUGUGCUAUGCGGGAGCAACGAAAAAGUCUAUCGUGAAAUGUUUGAGCCGCUUGGACCGUAUAAAUAAUAAUAAUCGAAUAAUAAAAUAAGAGGAAAGAAGAUUUACUUCUACUUUUCGGCCUCGGCAUUUUAAUCGUAAAUUU